ACUAACUAUAAUAUCUCAUCUUGCUCAUUCCAAUGGAGUCCUCCCAAUCUUAAGUUAAACGCUCUAAUUUUCCCAAGAAUUUUAUUUUCGGUGCUGCAACAUCGGCAUAUCAGGUCGAAGGUGCUUGGAAUGAAGGUGGUAAAGGCAGGAGUAAUUGGGACGUAAUGACUCUACAUUCACGUGAUAGCACUGCCGAUGGUAGAAAUGGGUGUGUUACUCUUGAUCACUAUAACUUGUUCAAGGAAGACGUGGCUUUGAUCAAGAAAGUUGGUUUGGACUCUUAUAGAUUUUCAAUUGCAUGGUCGAGAAUCUUACCAUGUUGUAGACUCUGCGCUGGCAUAAGUAAAGAAUGAAUCAAGUACUAUAACGACCUCAUAGAUGCACUUUUGGCAGAAGGCAUUGAGCCGUGUGCAACUAUCUUCCACUGGGAUAUUCCCCAAUGUUUGGAAGAUGAAUAUGGUGGCUUCUUAGAUCAUCAAGUUGU